AAACAGUGGAUCUGGAGGGACUAACUUCAAAAGAAAGGCAAGAGGGAGCUGGUGUGAAGUAUGAGCAGGAAGGAGAGAUGAGAAACCCGUGGUCUUCUGAUAAGGAACCAGAGACAGUAUCCAUAGAAGCCAAUGAGUGGAAGAGAGCAGCCUCACAUGAUCAUUAGCACCACUUCUGGACUGUGAGUAGAGUAUUCUCAGUUGGGUCAUUCCACGAAAAGAGGGCCUUUUGCAUCCCUUUGAUAUUUUAAGUAGAAAUUCUGCACCAAUAUUGAAUUUAAAAGCCUGCUAUAUUAAGUGCCCUGGAGAAUUCAAUUAAUCUGAUUUUUUAAAAAUAUAAUUAAAGAAUUCUGCACUUUACAUUAACAUAAGCCACUUAACCCCACAAUUUCUUAACGUUUUCACCAUCAUUGUAAGGCCCUGUUUUUUUGUUGCUUUGACAAAGUCAUUUCAGAAGAGUAUUAUUGAGUUUAUGUGAUUAGUGAUUCAUUUAUAUCUGUCCCUCAUUUAAAGGUCAACCCUGUUAGUGAACAGAACUCUCUCUUUAAUAUGUUGAAACUAUUCCUUCUAAAGAAACAUUUUAAUAGUCAAAUCAUAGUAUGAAAGCAGGUGAGCUGGUUCUACUCUUUUUGACCAUUAUCUGGUGUUUUGUGAUGGAAAACUGAGCGGGUCGAGCAGAGCACAUCAACCCUGUUGC
rnacentral:lncRNA from 1 species